rnacentral:rRNA from 1 species
GAUGGGUAGCCGGCCUGAGAGGGUGAUCGGCCACAAGGGGACUGAGACACGGCCCUUACUCCUACGGGAGGCAGCAGUGGGGAAUAUUGGACAAUGGACCAAGAGUCUGAUCCAGCAAUUCUGUGUGCACGAUGAAGUUUUUCGGAAUGUAAAGUGCUUUCAGUUGGGAAGAAAAAAAUGACGGUACCAACAGAAGAAGUGACGGCUAAAUACGUGCCAGCAGCCGCGGUAAUACGUAUGUCACAAGCGUUAUCCGGAUUUAUUGGGCGUAAAGCGCGUCUAGGUGGUUAUGUAAGUCUGAUGUGAAAAUGCAGGGCUCAACUCUGUAUUGCGUUGGAAACUGUGUAACUAGAGUACUGGAGAGGUAAGCGGAACUACAAGUGUAGAGGUGAAAUUCGUAGAUAUUUGUAGGAAUGCCGAUGGGGAAGCCAGCUUACUGGACAGAUACUGACGCUGAAGCGCGAAAGCGUGGGUAGCAAACAGGAUUAGAUACCCUGGUAGUCCACGCCGUAAACGAUGAUUACUAGGUGUUGGGGGUCGAACCUCAGCGCCCA